CCUACGGGAGGCAGCAGUAGGGAAUUUUUCGCAAUGGGCGAAAUCCUGACGCAGCAACGCCGCGUGAUUGAUUAAGCCCUUCGGGGUGUAAAGAUCUGUCAGUGGGGACGCAACUUGAAGGUACCCACCGAGGAAGCACCGGCUAACUCCGUGCCAGCAGCCGCGGUAAUCCGGAGGGUGCAAGCGUUGUCCGGAAUCAUUGGGCGUAAAGAGUUCGUAGGGUGGAUAGUAAGGCUUGUGUUAAAGGCGGAAGCUCAACUUCUGUUCGGCACGGGAUACUGGUAAGCUUGAAUGCGGGAGAGGGAAAGGGAAUUCCUGGUGUAGCGGUGAAAUGCGUAGAUAUCAGGAGGAACAGCCGUGGCGUAAGCGCGUUACUGGGCCGUAAUUGACACUGAGGAACGAAAGCCGGGGUAGCAAAUGGGAUUAGAUACCCUUGUAGUC
rnacentral:rRNA from 1 species